GACGAACGCUGGCGGCGUGCCUAAUACAUGCAAGUCGAACGGUUUAGUUCCAAGAGGCUUGCCUUUUGGAACUAGACAGUGGCGGACGGGUGAGUAACACGUAGGCAACCUACCUGUCAAACCGGGAUAACCUCGGGAAACCGAAGCUAAACCCGGAUAAGCUCCUUUUUCGCAUGAAGGGGGAGUGAAAAGGUGCGACCUGAUGACAGAUGGGCCUGCGGGGCAUUAGCUAGUAGGUAGGGUAACGGCUUACCUAGGCGAUGUUGCGUAGCCGACCUGAGAGGGCGUACGGCCACACUGGGACGGAGAUACGGCCCAGACUCCUACGGGAGGAAGCAGUAGGGAAUCUUCGGAAGUGAGCAAAAGCCUGACCGAGCAACGCCGCGUGAGGGAGGAAGGCCUUCGGGUUGUAAAACUCUGUUGUGUGGGAAGAAGGGAAAGGGUAGGACCCUUUGGUGACGGUACCAAACGAGAAAGCCCCGGCUAACUACGUG
rnacentral:rRNA from 1 species